rnacentral:miRNA from 1 species
ACGAGGAUGAGAUUGAGAGAGAGAAUGAGAGGAAUGAGUAAUAAAAGUGAAAACAAAAACUUGAAAGUGAAAACAAUUUGAAAUUAUUUUUUGUUUUUGUUUUUAUUUUUGUUACUUCUCCCUCUCAUUUUCCCUCCCAAUCUCAUCUCCACU